CACUAUUCAGUUGCACAAAUCUGCUCAGCUAUGAGAUACUCCCGAAGAUGUUUUGCCAUGAAAGACACGCAGAAAGAGAGUCGCUCAAGAGCUUUGGUUGGGAGCGUCGUGACGUCACUAUGGAUCCUCCCAUAGGCGGAAGUUUUGGACGCGCAGACAGUGUGGAGACAAGUCGGAUUUCUUGUGCUGGCGGCACCGCGCGAACACUAGAAUAAUGUACCUACUCGGUUUGACUUCCAAAAUGUGCCUGGUUAGACCUCACUGGAAAUUUCUUUAUAUUAUCGUCUUUGUAGAAAAUAAAAGGAGUGUGCCUGUAAAUGUUCGAACCUGUGGUUUCACGUUGGAGCGCGCGCUUGAGUGUUUUACCUAUAAGGUAAAGUGGUUCGCUGUAGUGCCUUUUAGCAAAUUUAAUGAUAUUAAACGCUUUGUAAUGCAUGCCUAACUC
ensembl:processed_transcript